GCUCAAUUGACAUUUAAGACCUUCUUUAAAGUGAUAGUUCAUUAGCAAUUGAAACCAAACAUGGAUCUUUUUCGAGUAGAAAGGACAUAUGUAGCAAUACAUGCCUGAGAAAUUAUUAAAAUUUCCAUCUAUAAUAAUUUCCAUCUAUAUUUUGUGAUUUUGUCAUAGAUGACAAUUAUGGACAUGAGAAAUUUGAGACCAAUUUUGGGUAAUGAAUGGUUGCAAGCCUAGGAAGUCCUCCAGCCUCAGUAAUCAUUACUAAACUAUUG
rnacentral:misc_RNA from 1 species